UACGUAGGGUGCGAGCGUUAAUCGGAAUUACUGGGCGUAAAGCGUGCGCAGGCGGCUUCUUAAGCCAGAUGUGAAAUCCCCGGGCUUAACCUGGGAACUGCAUUUGGGACUGGGAGGCUGGAGUGUGGCAGAGGGGGGUAGAAUUCCCGGUGUAGCAGUGAAAUGCGUAGAUAUCGGGAGGAAUACCGAUGGCGAAGGCAGCCCCCUGGGCUAACACUGACGCUCAUGCACGAAAGCGUGGGGAGCAAAC
rnacentral:rRNA from 1 species